rnacentral:misc_RNA from 1 species
AAGUCGUAACAAGGUUUCCGUAGGUGAACCUGCGGAAGGAUCAUUAACACUUAUUAUUAUCCAAUAUCAACAAAUAAAACCAAACGGUCACUUAUCUCCUCCCUAUUUCGAUCACCGGAGACGGUUCGAUUAGGCUAACAUUUUUUAAAACAUUUUUAACCCCAUUCAAUGCUAUAUUUAUAGCGCAAGCUAUUAAUAUAACAACCAACUCUUCGAUUUGUGCAAAACUUCUGUUUUGAACAAAACGAACUAAACUAAAAUAUACAUUCGAUAUAUUUUUAUUUUACGAAAUAAUAUAUAUUUAUAAGAACAACUCUUAGCAAUGGAUAUCUUGGUUCUC